GUCAACUACCUCGCCCUGAAGGGCGAGGCUUGUAAAACAAGCCAGGUUGACCAGGGAAAGCGGCUGUAUCGUCGCUACGUUGAUAACAGGUCGUUAAGACUCACCGCCGAAUCCUUCCUCAGUUCGGCGCUCUGAA
rnacentral:sRNA from 15 species